AGCGAACGCUGGCGGCAGGCCUAAUACAUGCAAGUCGAACGGCUCUUCGGAGCAGUGGCGGACGGGUGAGUAACGCGUGGGAACGUGCCCUUUGGUACGGAACAACUGAGGGAAACUUCAGCUAAUACCGUAUGUGCCCUUCGGGGGAAAGAUUUAUCGCCAUUGGAGCGGCCCGCGUUGGAUUAGCUAGUUGGUGGGGUAAAGGCCCACCAAGGCUACGAUCCAUAGCUGGUCUGAGAGGAUGAUCAGCCACACUGGGACCGAGACACGGCCCAGACUCCUACGGGAGGCAGCAGUAGGGAAUCUUGCGCAAUGGGCGAAAGCCUGACGCAGCCAUGCCGCGUGUAUGAUGAAGGUCUUAGGAUUGUAAAAUACUUUCACCGGGGAAGAUAAUGACGGUACCCGGAGAAGAAGCCCCGGCUAACUUCGUGCCAGCCGCCGCAGUAACAC
rnacentral:rRNA from 1 species